rnacentral:rRNA from 1 species
CCAGGAGCUUGCUCCUGGGUGAGAGUGGCGAACGGGUGAGUAAUGCGUGACCGACCUGCCCCAUACACCGGAAUAGCUCCUGGAAACGGGUGGUAAUGCCGGAUGCUCCAGUUGAAUGCAUGGCCCUCUGGGAAAGCUUCAUCGGUAUGGGAUGGGGUCGCGUCCUAUCAGCUUGAUGGCGGGGUAACGGCCCACCAUGGCUUCGACGGGUAGCCGGCCUGAGAGGGCGACCGGCCACAUUGGGACUGAGAUACGGCCCAGACUCCUACGGGAGGCAGCAGUGGGGAAUAUUGCACAAUGGGCGCAAGCCUGAUGCAGCGACGCCGCGUGCGGGAUGACGGCCUUCGGGUUGUAAACCGCUUUUGACUGGGAGCAAGCCCUUCGGGGUGAGUGUACCUUUCGAAUAAGCACCGGCUAACUACGUGCCAGCAGCCGCGGUAAUACGUAGGGUGCAAGCGUUAUCCGGAAUUAUUGGGCGUAAAGGGCUCGUAGGCGGUUCGUCGCGUCCGGUGUGAAAGUCCAUCGCUUAACGGUGGAUCCGCGCCGGGUACGGGCGGGCUUGAGUGCGGUAGGGGAGACUGGAAUUCCCGGUGUAACGGUGGAAUGUGUAGAUAUCGGGAAGAACACCAAUGGCGAAGGCAGGUCUCUGGGCCGUCACUGACGCUGAGGAGCGAAAGCGUGGGGAGCGAACAGGAUUAGAUACCCUGGUAGUCCACGCCGUAAACGGUGGAUGCUGGAUGUGGGGACCAUUCCACGGUCUCCGUGUCGGAGCCAACGCGUUAAGCAUCCCGCCUGGGGAGUACGGCCGCAAGGCUAAAACUCAAAGAAAUUGACGGGGGCCCGCACAAGCGGCGGAGC